GAACGCAUCGCGCCCGCGGCGAGCGUGCAUGAGACGCUGCGCUCGAUCGAGGCCAGCGCCGCGCAAUGGACGGCGCUCGCGGGCGCAACGAGCACCGCCGCAACGCCGGUGACGGCGCGCGAAUCGAUAGCGGCGCCGGCUGCGCCGUCGGGCGGUGCGGCCGCAUCGGCCGCGCGGGAUGGUCGCGCGCCGACGAGCGCGGAAACGGCCGCACCGGACGGCCACGCGCCGACGAGCGCGGAAACGGUCGCGCCGGACGGCCACGUGCCGACGAGCGCGGAAACGGCCGCGCCGGACGGCCACGUGCCGACGAGCGCGGAAACGGCCGCGCCGAACGACCAUGCGUCGACGAGCGCGGAAACGGUCGCGCCGGACAGCCACGCGCCGACGAGCGCGGAAACGGCCGCGCCGGACGGCCAUGCGUCGACGAUCACGGAAGCGACCGCGCCGAACGGCCACGUGUCGGCGACCGUAGAAACAUCCGCUGUCGCCGCGCCCGCAGGCAUCACUCAAGCCGCGCCGCCCAUCGCCGCCGACAUCUGCCCUGCCGGCGAGCACGUGAUCGCCGCCGUCGAACCGGCGUGCACCUCGGAUUCCGCCGCCAUCGGCGCCGGCGCGAUCGCCCAUGCCGAAGCCGGCGCGGCUGCUUCGACCGCCGAGACCGCUUCCCCCAUCGGCGCGGACACGCACAUCGCACCCAGCCGCGAAGCGGACCGCACCGCUCAGACAGCGCCGACCGCGCCAAGCCCGGCCGAAGCAACGCCUCAUGUCGACGCGCCACACGCGCUCGAUGUCGCCGCUCGCGCCCUCGUCGGAAACACCGCCGCCACCGCGCACGGCGCCGCGGCCGUCAACGGAUCGGCGCAACGCGCCGACACCGCGUCGCCUGCCGCAUCGACGAGCGGCCCCCCCGCCCCUGUCGCGGCAUCGGCCGCCUCGAGCGAUCGCGCAGCCCCGCAACCCGUUGCCACGGCGGCGCCGGCGUCGAUUGCAACGUCCGGGGCUCUCGGCACGAUGAAGGCGAGCGGCACUGCCGGCCCUCAACCGUCAACCAUCGCCGCGCAGCGUGCAUCGGCCAUCGACGAUACCGGCCAGCCGCCGUCGACAGGACAUUCGACGCAUGCCGCCGUCUCGAACGAGCUCGGGCGGCGGCCCCAUGCCGCGCCAGACGCCGUCACGCCGGUAUUGCCGCCUGCCGCCGCGGCCGUGCCGACGAACGCGAGCGCCGUGCAACGUCAGGCGCUGGCGAGCGAGAGCGCCGAGGCCGCCCAAGGCGUCGCGAGAGCAGCGGCCGCCGGCGACUCGCGCGAGACGACGCAGGUGUCGCCCGCAGGCGCCAGGCCAGACGGAGCCGCCCCGAGCGCCGCCGUGGCGAACCCGAUCGCGCCGUUGCCGGACGCAUCG
rnacentral:rRNA from 1 species